GACGAGGGAUCCAAGCGUUGUUCGGAAUCAUUGGGCGUAAAGCGGGAGUGGGUUGUCGGAUGUGUCAGGAGUGAAAGCCCUGGGCUUAACCCAGGAAGUGCUUUUGAAACUAUUCGACUUGAGUGCCGGAGAGGUCGCUGGAAUACCUGGUGUAGUGGUGAAAUACGUAGAUAUCAGGUGGAACCCCGGAGGGGAAGCCGGGUGACUGGCCGGACACUGACACUCAGUCCCGAAAGCGUGGGGAUCAAACAGG
rnacentral:rRNA from 1 species